GACGAACGCUGGCGGUGUGCUUAACACAUGCAAGUCGAACGGAAAGGCCCUGCUUUUGUGGGGUGCUCGAGUGGCGAACGGGUGAGUAACACGUGAGUAACCUGCCCUUGACUUUGGGAUAACUUCAGGAAACUGGGGCUAAUACCGGAUAGGAGCUCCUGCUGCAUGGUGGGGGUUGGAAAGUUUCGGCGGUUGGGGAUGGACUCGCGGCUUAUCAGCUUGUUGGUGGGGUAGCGGCUUACCAAGGCUUUGACGGGUAGCCGGCCUGAGAGGGUGACCGGCCACAUUGGGACUGAGAUACGGCCCAGACUCCUACGGGAGGCAGCAGUGGGGAAUAUUGCACAAUGGGCGGAAGCCUGAUGCAGCAACGCCGCGUGCGGGAUGACGGCCUUCGGGUUGUAAACCGCUUUCGCCUGUGACGAAGCGUGAGUGACGGUAAUGGGUAAAGAAGCACCGGCUAACUACGUG
rnacentral:rRNA from 1 species